UGUCUUGAAAAAACAUAAAGAAAAAGAAAAGAUAAUGAAUUGGCUCAAAUCUAGUUUCUAAAAAUUUGAUAGAUUUUUGAACUUAUGUCACCAAAAUGUAUUUCAAAAAUGGCCAAAUAUUGACUAUGCCAUGACUAAUCCUAACAUUUUCUACCAGGAACAAAAGAAAGAAGAUCUGAGAUGGUGCAGGAGACCCAUCGUAAUCUGCUUGAAUCUUCAGGGAAACAGUGGAGAAAUGCUGAUAACAGGUAGCAGAAGUCGGUCACGUUUGGGCAGUGGUGUUGAUGAGACACAUCUGGAGAUGGACAUACAGGCAUCAUGCUGUUUCAGGAUACUAUGUCUAGUUCAACACAAUCAGAUGCUGGAAUUCCAAAAGGAAACAGAAAGGGAUCAGCCACAAAAUGUUCCUUGGUCAUGGUGUCUCUUCGCAGCAAUAGAAGAAUAACUACGACAGAAGCUUACCUCAAAGAGCUUGCUGACACAGCAAGGUGAUUUCACAAGAAGGAGAUCUGAGGCUUAGAGCCAGAGGAUGGGGUGCUGAGGCUGUGAACAAGCAUCCAUAGGAAAAGCAUUGGCCCCUCCAACGGACCUGUUAAUGAUGUCAUGAUGGAAGAGAGGUCACCAAGGAAACAGCAUGAUCCACGAAGAGAAACUGUGAGGUUAUAUCAUUCUUGCACAAAUAAAGCCUGUCUGGGGGGGGGGGUCAGAGAAUGGAGCUUGCCACUAGCUAACCAUAGAGGUCUGGAGGUCUGUACAGACAGACAGAAAGUGACAUAGCUUGGCAGAAACAGGGUAUAAGCAAGGAGAAACAGGAAAUGCCUGUCUUCUGUGCUGAGAUGCUUGGAGGUAAGGUGUGCUGUGGUUUGCUCCUUCUCUCUGAUCUCUCAGCAUUUCCCUCUGUAUCUGACUCUGGCUUUUCAUUAUCUAAACCAAUUAAGAACUCCUUUUACAAAACUGUCUUUAGCUCAUUCCAGAAUGAGAGAGCGUUAGUAGGGGCAGUUCUGUUUCCUGAGAGGUGCAGCCUUCUCUGCUCUUUAGGAACAGAACUUCCAUCUCCUCUCUUUCCUUGCCUCAGGAAAGGGAGGAGCCGCAGCGAGAGAGAUGCCAGGUGGAUAAGAAGACAGCA